GUCUACAGCCAUAUCACCAUGAAUGCACCUAGUCUGGUCUGAUCUCGGAAGCUAAGCAGGGUCAGGUCCCUCCACACACCCUGAUCAUGUGUUGAGAAUU
ensembl:rRNA 5S_rRNA 5S ribosomal RNA